GCACGGAGUACAUAUUGAUAAGAAUCCAAUGAUGAGAUACAGAAAUAUUCCAUUAAAGCCAACAUUAUAUACAUCGAAAAUCCCUUGAAAAAUCUAUGUUCGACAGCUAAGUCAGUUCUAGCAAGUUUAUAUUUUCAGCUGCCAGUUCAUCACAAUAGCCUGUAGACUUAUUCCAGAAAUAAAGAAAAGGAGUCCAAUUACAAAUGUGAAGUGAAGAAAUAUGAUAGUUCACCAUCAGAAAAGGAGGUCUAGGAAGACCAAGCACACUUUGUGAGGAGGAAGAGACUAACACUUUGACACCGGGCAUGAUAGUGAUUAUCCUGCAUGCUAGCUGCAACAAAUAAUUCACAGGGAAGAAUACAAACGAAAACACCCAAAGACAAAGAGAAAUCUCUUCAAUUCAAUUCAACUUUACUAAAUUUCAAAAUGACAAAAAAUAACAAGUGAGGCUAUCUAGCCGAGAAAAUUCAAAAUUUUACCAAAAAAAGCAAAAUCUCAAUAAUCAUACCAAAAAUAAAAGUAUGUAAUAAAAGAAUUAUCUUGCCAAAAAUCUAGCUCAAAUCGAGUUCAUAAUCAUCUCGAAAACGGAAAAGGAAAUAUUGUCAUAAAUGGAAAAAUAAUAAUAAUAACAAAAAAUGGAAAUUCGAAAGGGAAAAUAGCGAAUUUUGGUCUCGAAAUUGACGCCUAUCGAGCAUAGCUUUUAAUUACGAUUCUGAUAACCGUAGCCAAAUUAUGACAAAAUUACCAAAACGUGUUCAAAACUGCUCCAAUUAAGAAAAGUUCAAUAUCACUUGCCAUCUUUGCGCCAAUCUGCUGACUCAUGGUAUCUUAACCCCAUCGAUGUGCUAUCUGACAACUCGGCAUCACUUGACUCGGAAUCUCGUGAAUCACACUCGAACAAAAUAUAGCUUUCCCCACUAAAUUUUCACAGCCAACCAAAAGAGCAGGUGAAAACGCUUGUUUAUUGAGCAAUAAAAAUACUGUCAUAUUUUUGCCAUCCAAUUGUUUUCCCGACCCACUAAAAUUAGCCUGUGAAAACAUUAUUUACCAAACAAAUAUAAUUAUUAGUCGGUCCAGACGAGAUAUAUUUGUCGACUAUAUGAAAUGGACCUACGAAUAUCUUUUUUUCGGCGGAAAUUUUUCACUGGGGAUAUGCACACAAAAAAUAAUUGGACUUUUAGACACACAAUAACAUUUAGCUAGGCUAAGAAAUUGACUGAAAACAGCUAGACAAAUAGAUAAGGAUCUACUAGUGAGAUAUGGCAGUGUUCCAUUAUUAUAUCAUUGCAAUGCAAAAGUUAUACGCUUCCACUUCACUCAGGCUUUUUGGAAAAUACUUUCACAUUCUCCAGCAUAGUAUAAACAUUUAUUCGUGUAAAUGUUUUCUUUCAAAUGCCUUUAUAUCCAUAGAAUAGAACCCUCAUUCACUUCUGACAGAAAAUAAAUUUCUGCUCAAAAUAAUCUUGAAUAUCACUCAAUUAAAUAAAAACUUAUAGACCUAAUAUCACACCAUUCCAAGUUUUAGGGCAUGAAGUAAUCAUAAUCUUAAAACAACUAACCGGGGUAUAAUUAAGAUGUCAAAACUCAGGAAAGAAUCCAAUUGAAACAAAAUUCACAACAAAUUGUCAAAGCAGAAAUGAGGACAAAAAACAUGUAUUCAUUGUAAAGUCUUGAAUAACAUGAAAGGUUUCAAAAUUAUUCUGGAAUCUUACUCAAACAAAAUUUAAAAAUUACUUUAUAAUCUUACAUAAACAAAAAAUAAUUGGAAAACUUAUUCGCUAAAACAAGCCAUGAACAAAUCUAACUGAAUCUUAUCUAACUUUUCAUGAAAAAUCUAACAAAGAGCCUUAGUUUGAUUGACCUCCGUGGAAUAAAAACCUCAAUGCUCAACAAUGGAUUGAAAGCAAAGUAUUUCAGCUUUGAAUUCUGGGUUUUUGGGAUGAAAGAUUUUAAUUAAUACAUCAAAAAGGGAGAAUUUUCAGUUGCUCAAAAACAUUAAGAAAGAAAAAGAAAAAAAAGGGGGCGGGGGUUAUGCAAAAGCUCAAGUUAAGGAGAUUACAUCUGAUUUUUAUCGUUGUUGGUUAGUUACGCAAUUUCGCUAAGCGUAUUCGUAUACAUAGAAGUGAUUAUGAGAAAUUGGUUGUAUUUAAUUUAAAGCAACAGGAUAGUACUCAAAAAUAAGAUUUCGACUGUUUUUAUGGCAAUAAGCAUGCACCAAUAGAUAAGAAAUGUUCUUUCAUAUUUAAAGCAACUAUUUAAUCUUUCUUUCAUGUUUGAUCAUUUAAAAAAUGCACUGGCAGAACUGAAAUUCGUGUUCCAAGAUAUCGACCUCCCCACCAAAGAGGUCCUUACCGUAAAAUAUGUUUCCCAAGGAUAGUUUCAGUUUUAUAAAAUCUACUGUUGCAACGAGUGACGUAGUUUGAUGGUUUUGGACAGUAAAAUCAAGAAAAUGUAAAAAUCAUGUUCAUUAUAUGAUCUAGAGUCAUAUCCAGCUGUCUGCACAAAAUAUGCACAGGGUAAUUCUUCUUGUUAGUUUAAGAUUUAAAAAAAAAAAAAAAAAAAAAAAAAAGGAGUACAUAUUGAUCAGAGUCCAAUGGCGAGACAAAGAAGUGUUCCAUUUUAAUUCCAUUAUAAUACCACAGUCAUAUACGUCUACAAAUUCAUCAAAAAAUUUAUGUUCGGUACCUAAGUCAAUUCUAGCAAGUUUACAUUUUCAGUUGCCAGUUCAUCAUGGUAGCCCAUAGAUUUAUUCAGAAGUAUAGAAAAGAAGUCCAAUUACGAAUGUUAAGGGAAGGAAUACGAUAGUUCACCAGGGAGGUAUAGGGAAACCAAGCAGACUUUUUGAGGAAUAGACUAAAACUAGAACGAAAUAUAUCUUUCACAAUUGAAUUUUCCCAGCCAACCAAAAGCAGGUGAAAAUGCUCACUUCUUGACUAAUAAAAAUACUUAGCCAUAUCUUUGCCGACAGGUUGUUUCCUGACCCACCAAAAAUUAGACAGUGAAAACAUUAUUUACCAACCAAAAUAAUUAUUGGUUGAACUAUGGGAGACAUAUUUGCCGAUCAGAUGAAAUGGGUAUGCGAAUAACUUAUUUUUUGGCCCGGAUGUUUUGUAAGGGAUAUGGGCACAACAAUUAAUUGGACUUUUAGACACAAAUAAGAUUUAGCUAGGGUAAGAAAAUCUAAUCUCCAACAAUACUGUGCAUCUUCUCCAUUUCCGGCCAUGAAUAUCUUAUCUCCCAUUCUGGUACCAUCCGUCUCUCUCAAUUUUUGGCCAACCCUGGAGAAUUUACACUAUCUUCCCUUCCUCUCUUUUGUAUAAACUACUGCCCUCUCUUUGUGUCUCCGAGGGAGAUUAUGCCCCUUGGUUAAUGAUAAGACCUAGGGAGGAUAGGGAUAUUGGUGGCUGGUGGUUGCAUGUGGGAUAUUUGGAUAUUGCCUGUUGGAGGAAGGAAGGGUUUAUUAACUUGGAUUGGCUAAAGCUUUUAAGGAGGACAACACUAAUAGGAAGAAGAAAGUG
rnacentral:lncRNA from 1 species